rnacentral:rRNA from 1 species
CCUACGGGAGGCAGCAGUGAGGAAUAUUGGUCAAUGGACGAGAGUCUGAACCAGCCAAGUAGCGUGAAGGAUGACUGCCCUAUGGGUUGUAAACUUCUUUUAUAUGGGAAUAAAAUGUUCCACGUGUGGGAUUUUGUAUGUACCAUAUGAAUAAGGAUCGGCUAACUCCGUGCCAGCAGCCGCGGUAAUACGGAGGAUCCGAGCGUUAUCCGGAUUUAUUGGGUUUAAAGGGAGCGUAGGUGGAUUGUUAAGUCAGUUGUGAAAGUUUGCGGCUCAACCGUAAAAUUGCAGUUGAAACUGGCAGGCUUGAGUACAGUAGAGGUGGGCGGAAUUCGUGGUGUAGCGGUGAAAUGCUUAGAUAUCACGAAGAACUCCGAUUGCGAAGGCAGCUCACUGGACAUUAACUGACGCUGAGGCACGAAGGCCAGGGGAGCGAAAGGGAUUAGAUACCCCAGUAGUC